AACGAACGCUGGCGGCAGGCCUAACACAUGCAAGUCGAGCGCACCUUCGGGUGAGCGGCGGACGGGUUAGUAACGCGUGGGAACGUGCCCAGAUCUACGGAAUAGCCUCGGGAAACUGAGAGUAAUACCGUAUACGCCCUUCGGGGGAAAGAUUUAUCGGAUUUGGAUCGGCCCGCGUUAGAUUAGGUAGUUGGUGGGGUAAUGGCCUACCAAGCCUACGAUCUAUAGCUGGUUUGAGAGGAUGAUCAGCAACACUGGGACUGAGACACGGCCCAGACUCCUACGGGAGGCAGCAGUGGGGAAUCUUAGACAAUGGGGGAAACCCUGAUCUAGCCAUGCCGCGUGAGUGACGAAGGCCCUAGGGUCGUAAAGCUCUUUCAACUGUGAAGAUAAUGACGGUAGCAGUAGAAGAAACCCCGGCUAACUC
rnacentral:rRNA from 1 species